AACGAACGCUGGCGGCAUGCCUAACACAUGCAAGUCGAACGAAGCCUUCGGGCUUAGUGGCGCACGGGUGCGUAACGCGUGGGAACCUGCCUUUCGGUUCGGAAUAACAGUUAGAAAUGACUGCUAAUACCGGAUGAUGUCUUCGGACCAAAGAUUUAUCGCCGAAAGAUGGGCCCGCGUAGGAUUAGCUAGUUGGUGGGGUAAAGGCUCACCAAGGCGACGAUCCUUAGCUGGUCUGAGAGGAUGAUCAGCCACACUGGGACUGAGACACGGCCCAGACUCCUACGGGAGGCAGCAGUGGGGAAUAUUGGACAAUGGGCGAAAGCCUGAUCCAGCAAUGCCGCGUGAGUGAUGAAGGCCUUAGGGUUGUAAAGCUCUUUUACCAGGGAUGAUAAUGACAGUACCUGGAGAAUAAGCUCCGGCUAACUCCGUGCCAGCAGCCGCCGUAACAC
rnacentral:rRNA from 1 species